rnacentral:rRNA from 1 species
GAUGAACGCUGGCGGCGUGCCUAAUACAUGCAAGUCGAGCGAACAGACGAGGAGCUUGCUCCUUUGACGUUAGCGGCGGACGGGUGAGUAACACGUAGGUAACCUACCUAUAAGACUGGGAUAACUUCGGGAAACCGGAGCUAAUACCGGAUAAUAUUUCGAACCGCAUGGUUCGAUAGUGAAAGAUGGCUUUGCUAUCACUUAUAGAUGGACCUGCGCCGUAUUAGCUAGUUGGUAAGGUAACGGCUUACCAAGGCAACGAUACGUAGCCGACCUGAGAGGGUGAUCGGCCACACUGGAACUGAGACACGGUCCAGACUCCUACGGGAGGCAGCAGUAGGGAAUCUUCCGCAAUGGGCGAAAGCCUGACGGAGCAACGCCGCGUGAGUGAUGAAGGUCUUCGGAUCGUAAAACUCUGUUAUUAGGGAAGAACAAACGUGUAAGUAACUGUGCACGUCUUGACGGUACCUAAGCAGAAAGCCACGGCUAACUACGU